rnacentral:rRNA from 1 species
CCUACGGGAGGCAGCAGUGAGGAAUAUUGGUCAAUGGACGAGAGUCUGAACCAGCCAAGUAGCGUGAAGGAUGACUGCUCUAUGGGUUGUAAACUUCUUUUAUAAGGGAAUAAAACGAGGCACGUGUGCCUUUUUGCAUGUACUCUAUGAAUAAGGAUCGGCUAACUCCGUGCCAGCAGCCGCGGUAAUACGGAGGAUGCGAGCGUUAUCCGGAUUUAUUGGGUUUAAAGGGUGCGUAGAUGGUUUGUUAAGUCAGUUGUGAAAGUUUGUGGCUCAACCGUAAAAUUGCAAUUGAGACUGGAAGUCUUGAGUGCGGUUGAGGUAGGCGGAAUUCGUGGUGUAGCGGUGAAAUGCUUAGAUAUCACGAAGAACUCCGAUUGCGAAGGCAGUUCACUAGGCUACAACUGACACUGAAGCUCGAAAGUGUGGGUAUCAAACAGGAUUAGAUACCCCAGUAGUC